AGACAGAGUUUUGCAGACCAGAUGCAGGAGUCAGCACCACAAGAGGGGCAGGGAAAUCCCCACCUUCUUCUCAGCCUGGAGGAGCCAUGGUUUGAACAUGUUCAGAGCCAAGAAGCCAAAGGCAGGAAACAAGGACUCAGUCAUACAAAUGCCCUUGGCUGCACACCAAAGAUUGGACCUCAGCGUGAUGGCUCUGACCUAUUUCUCCACUGUGGCACACACAUCCGCUGUCUGAAGAGCCCGGCAGCUGGAAAACAUGAGGAGGAAAGAGAAAUGAAGCUGAGAGAAGCCUUUCCAAAUUCUUCAAUCAGGCCCAAACAAGCUUUGAAUGUGGGCUGCUCUGCUAUUGAUUAGAGAGCCCAUCCAGGCUCGAUGGAGCAUUGUGAGGUCCAAGACACACCAACAAGCUGGGUCAAUCUCUGAAGGACUCAGGGGCACACUCCAUUCCCCAGGAGCUCCUAGCCAGGACAAAGAGAGAGGAAGAAGGGAGAAGUGCAGCAAAGACUAGUACGUACCCUGAACACUCUUGUUUCAUGCAUAUUGUAUUAUUCCAGCUUUGUAGGAUUCUCACAGAAUUUCUUGGGGGAAAAAAAAUAGUAUAUAUAUAUAUAUAUGCAGCAGAUGAAUAUCCUGGGCUUGUCAGACUGCUACAAAUGUGCUAUAGGGAUGGGCUGUGUGCACAAAACAGGUGUGCUUGGGGCAUGAUGAAAGCCCAAGCAAAUGUCUGAUGUCCCAAACUUGCACAGCCAUGAUCUCCACUCAGAGACACUAGGGCUGGCUGAGGAAACAUGGGCAGACAUGAACUUUCUUGUUUUCUGAUAUAUAUUUUUUUCUGACCUUGAGGUUUCAUACUUCAUUUCUUUGCAGAAGACACUGGUUUUGAAGAAGUCAAAGUUAGGAGAGCGAGUUUGACAUGCCUGGCCAUAGAUCAAGGAAGAUUCUAAGUAUUAGGAGCUAUAUCUGAAUUGAUGCUUGGCUAAAUAUCACACUUAGCUGCCAUUCAGCCAUCUUCCUUUGAAUAUUGCUGGUUUUGUAUCUAGGGGUCAUUGGGUCCAAGCCAGAGGGCUUGGCAGCCCAUGUUGGCUGGGCCUACACCAGCAAAUCAAGCAGGGCCAGCUUGUCCCAGCCUUUUUUUCUGGCCCUAAGGGUGAACACCAGGACACAGCUCAUUUUCAUACAGUUACUCACAAAGCAAGUCAUGUCAGUAGGAUUACUCCCUCCUUUCCCCUUCCCCAAACCCCUCAGAGUGGCUUUGAUAGGACACAUACCCAGGUCCAUGGGAUGCUCUGAGC